rnacentral:rRNA from 1 species
UACCAGCUCUCCGAGUGGUGUGGAUGUUUAUUGGGCCUAAAGCAUCCGUAGCUGGCUGGGCAAGUCCCCUGUUAAAUCCACCGAUUUAAUCGUUGGUGUGCGGGGGAUACUGUUCGGCUAGGGGACGGGAGAGGCCGACGGUAUUUUCGGGGUAGGGGUGAAAUCCUAUAAUCCCGGGAAGACCAUCAGUGGCGAAGGCUGUCGGCUAGAACGCGCCCGACGGUGAGGGAUGAAAGCUGGGGGAGCGAACCGGAUUAGAUACCCGGGUAGUCCCAGCUGUAAACGAUGCAGGCUAGGUGUUUGGGCGGCCACGUGCCGCUCUAGUGCCGCAGAGAAGUCGUUAAGCCUGCCGCCUGGGGAGUACGGCCGCAAGGCUGAAACUUAAAGGAAUUGGCGGGGGAGCACCACAAGGGGUGAAGCUUGCGGUUU